UACGGGGGGGGCAAGCGUUGUUCGGAAUUACUGGGCGUAAAGGGCUCGUAGGUGGCCAACUAAGUCGGACGUGAAAUCCCUCAGCUUAACUGGGGAACUGCGUCCGAUACUGGAUGGCUUGAGUUUGGGAGAGGGAUGCGGAAUUCCAGGUGUAGCGGUGAAAUGCGUAGAUAUCGUAAGGAAGACCAGUGGCGAAGGCGGGUCUCUGGACAGUUCCUGACGCUGAGGCACGAAGGCCAGGGGAGCAAACGGG
rnacentral:rRNA from 1 species